GACUCACUAUCACUGUGCUUGCAAAGUUGUAAUUAAGUCUGCUCUGAUAGAAGUCUGAAUGUUCCUGAAGGUAUUUUUAGAAAUACUGUUCAUUUACUUUUCUCAAUGAAUGGUGUUCAGGGAAGUUAGCAUCAUGUGGUGAGGAUAAUUUUAAAGUGGGUAAUUGAAAAUCUGGAUCUUAGCCUCAGCACUACUAGUUACUUUGUAUCCUUAAAUUUAUCAUUCACUCUCUCUGGGCUUUAUUAUUCUCUAAAACCCCAAUUGGGGGAAAUUAGGAGAGAUGACAUCUGAGAUUCCUUUCAUUGCUAAAUUCUCAAGUUUUAUGACUGCUUUUGGCUAGGAGUUUCAUGUGAUUGAAAGCUGUUCUCAUCUGCUGCGUUAUUUAUUUCUUUUUGAUCAUGGUCCAUAAACUGUAGAGUCACUAAUGUGCAGUCUUUAUACUAAAAUCUUUUUGCACAUAAUUCUGUGGUACUUUUAUGCCCACCAAAACUAUAUGGCAUACCAAAUAUGUUUAACUUUUAUUCUCUUUAUCUAUAUCACAUGUCUUAAACCAGGUCAUUUCUGCAUAUGAAACAUGGAGAUUAUUCAUUUAGGUAAAUAAUAGGAUUUCUUGUGCCAAAUCAGUCAGAGGAGAAACAACUGGUGUCCAGUAUAAUCUGUUGAACUCCUUUAUGAGGUUUCUCAUGAUAUUCUCACUGAAAUUGUAUAGCAAAUUCAGACAUUGGAGUUUAAAUUCUAUUUUCACUUUAUCUGGUUUGUUUUGGUUUACUGUUAAUUUCUUUGGUGUACUCAUAAUAUCUUUUAGAUCCAGUGCAUGUGCUUCAAUUCGUGCAUGAUUGAAAGACUGCAGUGUGUAUGUACUAUAAUGCAAUUAGUACAUGUCGUUUGAAUUUAAUAUGAAAUACUCUGAACAUUUUAGAAUUUGAAAAUAUAAACCAAGCACCUUUUUCCUUUGAGGUCAGAAUUGGAUGCCUUUAUGUAUGCUCAGAUAGAAAGGUAGAAAGUACAAGAGUUCUUGACCCUGCUCCCCACUUCACCUCUAGUCCUGCUCAACCAGAGGAGGUCACUCUUAGUAGUAUGAUGAAUACCCUUCUGCAUGUUUUCUUUCUUUUCCAAAGAUUUAUUUAUUUGGAAGUCAGAGUUACACAGAGAGAGGCAAGGCAGAGAAAGAGAGGUCUUCCAUCUGCUGGUUCACUCCCCAAUCGGCCGUGUCAGCGGGAGCUGAGCCGACCCGAAGCCAGGAGUCAGGAGCUUCUUCCGGGUCUCCCACAUGGGUGCAGGGGCCCAAGGACCUGGGCCAUCUUCUGCUGCUUUCCGAGGCCAUAACAGAGAGCUGGAUCGAAAGUGGAACAGCCGGGACUCAAACCAACCACCCAAAUGGGAUGCCAGCACUGCAGGCGGUGGCUUUACCUACUACACCAUAGCUCCAGACCCCUCCUUCUGCAUAUUUUCUACACACUCUUCAGACUGUGUAAACAUGUAAUGAGUUCUUCAUAUAUCUCCCUCCCAAAUUUUUAUUUAUUUGGAAGAUAGAGAGGGAGAGAGAUCGCCUAUGUAUUAGACCGUUGCCCAAAUGCCUGCAGUAGCUAAGAUUGAGCCAGGCCAAAACCAGGAGCUGAGAAUCCGAUCAGGAUCUCCUGUGCAGGUGAUAGGGCCUUCAUUCAGUUGAGCCAUCACCUGCUUCAUCCCACAGUGUGCAUCAGCAGGAAGCUAGAAUUAGGAGCAGAGCCAGGACUGUAACCCAGGCACUCAAAUAUGGGAUGUAGGUGUCCCAAAUGAUGUCUUGAGCACUGUGCCAAAUGCCCACUCCACAUUAUAUUUUAAGAGCCUCAGUGAUUGGCAGAGGCAAACUGAGGACAGAAUCUGGUACCAUGUCUUACUUGUCAAUAAGGCUGAUUUUAAAAUAGUUUCACUGCCACUUUGUGUUUAAUGUAUUCAUGAGAUUAGAGUCAAAGCCAAGAGCUGAUAGAACAAACUACAAUGAGAGGGCAGUGUUGGGCAUGAUUUUAUCAGCUGUAAAUGACCUUGGACCCAUAGUCCCCCUAGAAACAGCUAGUAAUAGUUGUCUUUUAUUUUAUUAAAUUUUAUUUAUGUAUUCAGGAGACAGAGAUAGGAAGAGAGCUCCUAUAUGCUGAAUCACUCCCCAAAUGCCCACAAUGGCAGUGACUGAACUGGCACUAACGUCAGGUGGCAGGAACACAAUUCCUUGGGCCAUCACCACUGCCACCCCAGACCUGCAUUAGCAGGAAACUGGAGUUGGAAGCCAGAGCCAGGAAUCUUUCCCAGGUACUACAGUGUGGGACACAAGCAUCUUAACAGCCGCAUCCAUUCUCGUAGUUGUCUUUUAAAUAAGGAUAGGGGGAGCAGCUAGUAGGGUGUAAAGGAAAAGAAAAUCAAACCCAAAAGUUAAUUUUUUUUUCUUGCUAACAAAACAUUUUGUGGUUUUGUUAUAUCAAUAGCAAAUCAUCCUCAAUCUGAGUUCUAGCAUUGCUAUUCCCAUAAAAUUUGUCCAUAGAAAUUUUAUCCCAGUCUGUCUGAAUUUGCCUGUGCAUAGUCUUCAACCUGAAUGUUACAUCAGAGUCAAUAGACCUGGAGCAUACUGUUCUGAGUACUUUUUAUGACUGUCUUACCAGCCAUCAGUGCCAUGUUUUUUCUUUGGGAAUGUGAGCUUCAUAACAUGCUACUGGGUUGAGUGUGAGUAUCUACCACUGUCCUAUGUAGUAUUUUUUUUUAAAGGUUUAUUUAUUUAUUUGAAAGGCAGAGUUACAUAGAGAAGCAGAUAGAGAGAGAAAGGUCUUCCAUCUGCUGGUCUUCAUUCCCCAGAUUGCCGCAACAGCCAGAGCUGCGCCAAUCUGAAGCCAAGAGCCAGGGGCUUCUUCCAGGUUUCCCACGUGGGUGCAGGGGCCCAAGGACUCAAGCCAUCUUCCACUGGUUUCCCAGGCCAUAGCAGAGAGCUGUAUCAGAAGUGGAGCAGCCGGGACUUGAACUGGCGUCCAUAUAGGAUGCUGGCACUUCAGGCAACCCUCUAAGAGGGCAAAGGGCUUAGUGUCUUCCUUAAAACUCCAUCCCCAGGGCCGGCGCCGCGGCUCACUAGGCUAAUCCUCCGCCUAGCAGCGCCGGCACACCGGGUUCUAGUCCCGGUCGGGGCGCCGGAUUCUGUCCCGGUUGCCCCUCUUCCAGGCCAGCCCUCUGCUGUGGCCAGGGAGUGCAGUGGAGGAUGGGUCAAGUGCUUGGGCCCUGCACCCCACGGGAGACCAGGAAAAGCACCUGCCAUCGGAUCAGCGCAGUGCGCCGGCCGCAGCGCGCCGGCCGCGGCGGCCAUUGGAGGGUGAACCAACGGCAAAGGAAGACCUUUCUCUCUGUCUCUCUCUCUCACUGUCCACUCUGCCUGUCAAAAAAAACAAAAACAAAAACAAAACAAAAAAAAAAAAAAAAAAAAAAAAACUCCAUCCCCAGAGGGGCCGGUGCUGUGGUGUGGUGGGCUGAGACCAUGCCUGUGGCACUGGCAUCCGAUGUGGGCGCCAGCUCUCUGCUGUUGGCCUGGAAGGGUGGUGGAAGAUGGCCUGGGCAUUUGGGCCCCUGUGCCCACUGGCUAUUGGCUUCAGGACUGCCGUUGCUGCCAUUCGGGGAAUGAACCAGAAGAUGGAAGACCUUUAACAAAAAAAUACAACUCCAUCCCCAGAGUUGAUACUUUUUUAUCUGUCUGGCAGCUAACAGAAAAAUCUCUAUUUUCUAUGUCUUUAUUUAUUUAUUUGAAAACCAGAGUUACACAGAGAGAGGAGAGGCGGGGCGGGGGGUGUCUUCCAUCCUCUGGUUCACUCCCCGAAUGGCAGCAAUGGCCAGAGCUGCACCAAUCCGAAGCCAGGAGCCAGGAGUUUCUUCCAGGUCUCCCAUGCUGGUGCAGGGGCCCAAGGACUUGGGCCAUCUUCUACUGCUUUCCCAGACCAUAGCAGAGAGCUAAAUCGGAAAUGGAACAGCUAGGACUCGAACCGGCACCCAUAUAGGAUGCCUUCACUGCAGGAGGUAGCUUUACCCGCUACACCAGUGCCGGCCCUGAAAUCUCCAUUUUCAAGGCUUGUCUUUAUUUGAACAAAUUCAGAGCUUAGAGAACAGAAUGUUCAUAGGAGUCUUUGAAAAUCUCCAACAUAUUCCUGGAACUCUAGCAGGACACACACAUGCCCAGAGAGAACUGUGAAACCCUAAAACCACACUGCUAGCCAGCCUUGAGGCUCUGUGUGAGUAGGAAGUGAGGACCAAGGCAGAGUGUUAAUUGCCAGCUGGAACACAUAGAAAGCUCCUCUGCAAGGGUUGAGAGACGUUUUAGUUGAAGGCAUUUAAGGAAAUCUUGUUUAAACCGUUAACUAACUACGAAACUAAUGGAACCAGAAACUUCAGAGGUCACACACAAUAAAGAAUACGGAAUGAUUCCAGGAAAGGCAAUAGGCAAACAGUAGCAACAACAAAUCCUGGGCAAGGGAGGGAUUUAAUCUCCAUAGUUGUCACAUUACAUUAUUUAAAACUUCUAAUUUUCCACUAAAAAUUACAAAACUUGCAAGGAAACAGAAGUAUAUGGCCUGUACACAGGAAGAGGAAAUGCAGUCGAUAGAAACUGUCUCCAAGGAGGGCAACACACGGAUUUACAAAGAGUUUAAAUUGCUGCAGUCAUGUGAUACAGUAUUGUUUGGGUCAGUGAGUCACCUAUAGACUUUGCUGUUCUGUGCUUAUACUUCUGCUCACUUAACAUUUGAGCUGCCAGGGCAUGGCUUACCCAGAGAAGCAUGCAUUUCUAUAUGCAUGUCCCCUCUCCGCCCCAAGUCUCCUAUUUCAUCAGCCUACCCGUCACUAAGAUAUGAAAUUUCAUAAGUUAAGUUAAACUGGAAUAUUGUCCCUUAAAUGCAAAUGUUCUUGGGAAAAGCACCAUGUUAAGCAUUUCUCAAUCAUUAAGACAUUUGGGACAAAGCAUUUGUUUGGUAUGUGUAACCACUGAGCUAGUUUGCCAAGAAGAGAUUUUAGAGCCCCAGGGGGAAAAUAGAGCAAGAGAUCCACAGCAGGUGGGGUAGGCCAGAUUACACUGCCUAGAGCUGACAGGGAAAGCCCCUGAGAGGAAGGCAACGCAGUGAGUGGGAGGAGAACGGAACAGGGACAUGGAGCAGGCAGCUGCAAAUUUUACCUUCACCACUUUUGCUCAGAUCCAAUCCCACAGGGGAACACUCUUUCUGGCCAGGUUGGCAAGCACUUCAUAUGAUUCAUGCAGACAGGUCUCUGGUGGGUGUGUGCCUCUCUGCUUUUCAAGUGCUGUGUUACAGACUUUCUGUGACACUGCUUUUACAAGUAGUGAUGAUAGGCCUUAUAAUUAUCCUCACUGUGGCAGCAGGCAUGCUCAGACUGGUUGUGCUAAAUUGUUUCUGCAGCAUCUAGAUCUGUAGGUGAUGAGUGUCAAAAGCCUCUUUAGUUAGGACACCCUCACUAAAUGGGGUAAGACUCAUAAAGACUUCUCCUUUUUGUGUGUUAGGAUACACAAGUGAGAUACUAAGAGGCAUGCUGGAUGCUGUAGUCCUAGUUUGGUUUUCUUUUUGCUAUUGUGUGCAAAUCUUUUAUUUGGCUGGAUUGGUUACCUAGGAAACAGCUGCACAGUAAGAUGGAUUGGCUGUUUGGGGAAUGGAAUUGGCCCCUCCAAGAGGCAAAAUACCUGUUCUAUCAAAAAAGAAUUAGUGGAUGCUAUAGGAACCAGAGUAAGAUAGUUCUGUAGAAGAGCAUACUUAAUACUGGAUGGCUUUAAAUUUAGCUUGUUUUUAAUUCAUUUAAACCCACCAAAUGCUUAUUAAUUCCUGCUCUAUACUCACUGCUGCAGUCAUCUUGGGGUUUUCCACUGACAUAGAAGGUGUAGUUUCCUCUUCAAAAAGAUGGUGUUUGAUUUGGAGUAAAAAGAAGCUAUCUGGAAAGUGAGGUUACAAUUGAAUGAUACAGACUAAAUGUGUGAACAAAUUUAGGAGAAGUAAAAGAUCUUGACAGUGUGAGUGAUGGAUAUGAAUCUACAAGCAGGACAUAAUUCAGUGGUGAGAGUUUAGAUGCUAACCUGGAAUUUACAAUAUUUACCAGUAGCAGCGUAGGCAUCCCCAGAGAUUCCACCAGGUAGUUACUUUACGGAAAAUAUGUGACUAUGAUAUAAAUUUUGCUGGCUUAGAGUCUUAAGAAAAUGAAUUUUAAUAACAAUGUUGGCCAAAACACUGUUUGCACUAGGCCUUGUAUAAUAUAGUUAAACAAAGUAUAUUAUCACUGAAAAUGUGAUGGUAUUAGUUGUGGAAUCUGUGACCAAAACAACAGUGCUAAGAGAUGCUUAAUAAAAUGUUUGCGUGUUGAUUUUCUUAUAUACCUUAUGCCUUCUGCUUGUCCAUUAGCAUUAGCUUUCCUUUCUUCCAGAAUAGAGCUACUAAAUGCUUGGUCUUGAUUUGUUGUGAUUAAGAAUUUUGCAAAUACAGGAGUAUAGUGCUUCUUUUAAAAAAAUUAAAGAUUUAUUUAUUUGUGUUAAAAGUCAGUGUUAAAAAAGAAGAGAGAGAGAGAGAUCUUCCUUCUGCUGGUUCAUUCCCCAAAUGGCACCAACAGCCAGGGCUGAGCCAGGCUGAAGCCAAGAACUUGUUCUGGGUCUCCCACGUGGGUGCAGGGGACCAAGCACUUGAGCCAUCUCCUUCUGCUUUCCCAGGUGCAUUAACGGAGCUAGAUCAGAAGUGGAGUGCCAGGACACAAACCAUCGCCUGUAUGGGAUGCCAGUGUCCCAGGCAGUGGCUUUACUCACUACUUCACGAUGCUGGCCCCUAGCACUUUAAACAUCAAACAUCUGUCAGGUUAUUUCCAGCUGGUUUGUAGACAGCAUAGAUGUAAUUUUCAUUGUCUUACUUGUUCUGUUUAUAUUUACUUGGUGUAGUAUGCCAGCAGGAGAAGAUAAAAGCAGUCCUACUUAGAAAACUUACCAGUCUCCAGGCACAGGAGGUUAAGUUAAAUUUUAUCCCUAAUAUUCCUCACUAUGUCCAUAAAUGGAGAGAGGCAACAUAAGGAUACUCAAAGUAUUUUUUCUUUUUUUUUUUAAUGUAUUUUAUUUAUUUGAAAGAGUUACAGAGAGAGGUAGAGACAGAAAGAAUCUUCCAUCUGCUGGUUCACUCUCAGGUGACCACAAUGGCCGGAGCUGUGCAAAUCCGAAGCCAGGAGCCAGGAGCUUCUUCCUGGUCUCCCAAGUGAGAGCAGGGACCCAAAAACUUGGGCCAUCUUCUGCUAUCCCAGCCCACAGAAGAGAGCUGGAUCGGAAGAGCAGCAGCCGGGACUAGAACAGGUGCCCAUAUGGGAUGCCGGUGCUUCAGGUCAGGGCUUUAACCCGCUGCUCCACAGCACCAGACCCUCAAAGUAUUUUGAAGGAGAGAUAUUUUCAUUAUGAUUUCCUGAACCUAUGACUUUUAAUAUUUACCAGCAAAAAAAAAUUCAGAUUUAAAUCUUAAGUUCUGUUGAUUUGUAGGGUAACCAAUUAAACAUCUUUUGUAUAUGAAGGAAGCUGCUGUUGUUAAGAGGUCAGUGUUGCAUUUUGUCACAGGGUCUUUUGUUGCCUGCAGUUUUUUGUAGCAAUAACAUGUUUGUUUGUUUUUAAAGAUUUUAUUUAUUUGACAGGUAGAGUUACAGACAGUAAGAGAGAGAGAAACAGAGAGAAAGGUCUUCAUUCCAUUGGUUCACUCUCCAAAUGGCCUCAACAGCCGGAGCUGUGCCAAUCCGAAGCCAGGAGCCAGGUGCUUCUGGUCUCCCGUGCCAGGGCAGGGACCCAAGCACUUGGGCCACCUUCUGCUUUCCCAGGCCACGGCAGAGAGCCAUGGCGCACUAGGUUAAUUCUCCACCUGCGGCACCGUUCUAGUCCCGGUUGCUCCUCUUCCAGUCCAGCAAUAACAUGUUUAAUAACACAGUGGUUAAAGUCACUGGUUGGGAUGCCUGCAUUCCAUAUCAGAGUGCCUGGUUUGAGUCCCAGCUAUUCUGUAUUCAAUCCAGCUUCCUGUUAAUGUGCACCCAGGGAGGCAGCAGGUGAUGGCUCAAGUACUUGGGUCCCUGACACCCAUGUGGAAGGCUUGGAUGCUAUUCUGGGCUGUUGACUUGGGCCUAGUCCAGUCUUGGCUGUUGGGCAUCUGGGGAGUGAAUUCGUGGAUGGAAGAUUCAUUCUUUCUCUCUCCUCUCCUCUCUCUUCUCUUCUCUGUGUGUGUGUGUGUGUGUGUGUGUAUGUGUGUGUGUGUGUGUGUGCCUUUAAAUAAAAUGAAAUAAAUAAUUUUUAAAAGAUGAAGCUUAAAAAAUAAAUGGAACAAUGAUAACAAAAAACUAAUUUGUUAGAAGUCUUUGCUGACUGGCCAGGAAUAGUUUUCUGUUAGGAGUUGUUGGGCACUGCUGUGAAUGCCUUCUUUAUUUCUAAAAUUAUAAUAAAAUGCUUUAUCAUAGUUAGACAUUUCUCUCCUCCAGGUUGCUUUUCCCCCAGGGAAACUCUUUAGUGUUUCAAUUUAAGUACAGUCAUGCAACACUUUGAUGCCUACACACCCCUGCCCUAUCACCCUCUUUCGGUUUCAUGCAGUAACUGUGAAACUUAAAGGUUAGCAGUAGUUCAAAAAUGUGUACUGAGGUACAUUUCUUUGGCCUAUGAAGUCAUUCAGCUCCAAGCAGCAUGGAUGACGUUAUGGUGAGGUUUACUCACUUUGUCCCAUCUGCCUUCAUCCUGUUCAUGACAGUUCCAUAAUUAUAAGGUUGUUUGUACCUGUGUAGAGAUCACUAGAUCUAACUAUUAGAUCAUGUGGGAGCAAAAGUAUUAGUUUAUCAUUUUCCUCUCUAUAGUUAUGGUCAGAUUUAGCAUUAGAGGAAAAGAAGACUAUAAGUCAAUUUUGAGAAUAAAACUGAUUUCUUGUGUCAUUUUCUCUCACCACAUUGCUUUAUUUUAAAAAAUAUAUCAAUGACAAAAUAAAAGUUGCACAAAAGCAUCUUCCUUCAAAAGCACUACCUACCCACAAAUACAUUUCUACGCAGAUCCAGCCCUGGUCUGCUUCUACCACAGCAGCUUCCCAAAAUGCUCCUAGGAAUUCUACUGACUCUUUAUAGAAGGCCCUGAUUCAUGGCAAGUCCUGUGAUUUUUGAACUCAGUGUCAUUUUUACUUUUAAUUUGUAUUCAUAUUCAGAAAAUGCAGACUGAAAAAUAAGAGCCAGAAAGCUGUUAUGUUUUCAGUGGCUUCAGAAAUUUCUAUUCUUGUGUUUUUGGUAACUGUUUUCUCAUUUGCAGCUGCUCAUACAAGGGGAAACAAGCAGUUUUGUUCAGAAUCAAUAUUUUAAUCAUUCUUAGUAGGGAAGCAGAGAAAAUAAUUACUCUUUCACCUUCCUGAUUUGAGUUUCAGUAAAUUAAUUCAUCUCAAAUUUGAUAGAGGGGCUCCUUAGUUUUGACAUGGAAAAAUUCUUAUGGAAAAGUAGCACUUUUUUUUUUUUUAAGAUGUAUUUUUUUCAAAGUCAGAGUUACACAGAGAAGGAGAGAGAGAUAGCUUCCAUCUGCUAGUUCAUUCCCAAUUGUCUGCAACAGCCAGAGCUGUGUUGAUCUGAAGCCAGGAGCCAGGAGCUUCUCCUAGGUCUCCCGCAUGGGUGCAGGGGCCCAAGGACUUGGGCCUUCUUCCACUGCUUUCCCAGGCCAUAGCAGAAAGCCGGAUCAGAAGUGGAGCAGCCAGGACUUGAACCAGCGCUCAUUUGUGAUGCCGGCACUGCAGGCAGUGGCUUCACCUGCUAUGCCACAGCACCUGCCCCAAGCACUUGGUUUUUUAAUGUUUGUUUGAAAGGCAGAGGGAGAGAAAGAUCCUCCAUCUGCUGGUCCACUCUUUUUUUUUAUUUUUAUUUUUUAUUUUUUUUGACAGGCAGAGUGGACAGUGAGAGAGAGAGAGACAGAGAGAAAGGUCUUCCCUUUUGCCGUUGGUUCACCCUCCAAUGGCCACCGUGGCCGGCGCGCUGCAGCCAGCACACCAUGCUGAUCUGAAGCCAGGAGCCAGGUACUUAUCCUGGUCUCCCAUGGGGUGCAGGGCCCAAGCACUUGGGCCAUCCUCCACUGCACUCCCGGGCCACAGCAGAGAGCUGGCCUGGAAGAGGGGCAACCAGGACAGAAUCCGGCACCCCGACCGGGACUAGAACCCGGUGUGCCGGCGCCGCAGGCGGAGGAUUAGCCUAGUGAGCCACGGCGCCGGCCUUGGUCCACUCUUCAAAUGCCCACAUCAGCCGGGGCUGGGCCAGGUGGAAGCCAGGAGCUGAGAACUCCAUCCAGGUCUCCCGUGUAGGUGGCAGGGACCCAGGUACUUAACCCAUCACUUUCUGCCUCCCAGAAUGCACAUUAGCAGGAAGCUGAUCAAAGGCAGAAGCAGCAAAGUAGCCAAGAUCACACUGGCAAUCUUGAUAGAUUUGGCAUCCCAAGUGAUGGCUUAACUCAUUGUGUCACAACAUUUCCACUCAAACGCUUGAUAUUGUACAAAAAUGACUUUCACGUUAUUUAACAUGAAAGGGGAGGGACUUUAAAAUUUGCCUUUGUGGGGCCAGAGUUGUGGCACAGUGAGUUAAGCCACUGCCUGCUAUUGCCAGCAUCUCAUAUGGGCAUUGGUUCAAGUACUAGCUGCUCCACUUCUGAUACAGCUCCUUGCUAAUGUGCCUAGGAAAGCUGUAGAAUAUGGCCCAAGUGCUUGGGCCCCUGAACCCACAUGGGAGACCUGGAUGAAGCUCCUGGCUCCAGAUUUUGGCCUGGCCCACCCCUGGUCGUUGCGGCCAUUUGGGGAGUGAAUCAGUGGAUGGAAGAUUGUCUCUAUCCCUCCCUCUCUCCCUCCCCUUCCCUCCCCUUCCCUCCUCUUCCCUUCCCUUCCCUCCCUUCCCCUCCCCUCCCCUCCCUCUCUGUCUCUCUCUCUCUCUCACCUCUCGCAUGUAACUCUGACUUUGAAAUAAAAUAAUCUUUAAAAGAAAAUUUGCCCUAUACUUUGUUGCAGCAUUGCAGUGGUGGGUUUAGCAAAGUGAACACUUGUACAUUGUACAAAAGUUAGUGCACUUAGGAAAUGAGAGGGGAGAUCUACCAAUUUCUCUAACCUUUGUUUGCAUUUGAUAUAAAAUGACUUAAAUAUUCCUUUUUUUAAAAGAUUCAUUCAUUUAUUUGAAGGCAGAGUUAUAGUGAGAGAGUGAGAGGCACAGAGAGAGGUCUUCUAUCUGCCGGUUCACUCUCCAAAUGGCCACAGUGGCCAGGGCUGGACCAUUUGGACGAGGCCAAAGCCAGGAAACAAGAACUUCUUCCAGGUUUCCCACAUGGGUGCAGGCUCCCAAGCCUUUGGGUCAUCUUCUACUGCUUUCCCACGGGCAUUAACAGGGAGCUGAAAUGGAAGUGGAGCAGCCAUGACAUGAACUGGCACCCAUAUGGGAUGUCCACGCUGUAGACAGCAACUUAACCAACUGUGCCACAAUGCUGGACCCAACUAAUGAUAUUCUUAGCCCCAUUAACUUUUAUCAAUACAUUGCUGCUGGUAUUUAAUCUAGUAUUUACUUAUGAUUAGAUAUAUUACAUAUUUCUCUUUACUUUUUUUUUUUUUAAAGAGUUACUUAUUUAGAAAGAGUUAGAGGGAGACACACAGAGAGGGCUUCUGACUACUUGUUCACUUACCAGAUGGCGACAACAGCCAGCUCUGGGCCGGGCUGAAGGCCCAAGCCAGGAGCUCCAUCCAGGGGCCCAAACAUUUGAGCCAUCUUCCACUGUUUUUCCCAGGCUACUAUCAGGGAGCUGGGUCACAAUUGAAGCAGCCAGGUCACAAACCAGCAACCAUAUGAAAUGCUGGCAUUGCAGGCUGUGGCUUUACCUACUACAUAACGCCAGUCCAUCUUCAUUGUUGUAAAAAGUUUUCUCCUCAGUUAAAAUAAUAUACAGUGAGUCUGGGAUCUGGGAAUAGAAAAAUCCCAGUUCUUCCUGUAAGGAACCUCAUCUAUCUUGGUCACUCACAGUUUUCCUGGAACCUAGAUGGUGCCUGACAUAAAUUCUGAGAAAAGUGUUUGUUUAAAGAAUGACUGAGGGGCCGGCACUGUUGCAUAUCCAGUAAAAGUAGCAACAGUUCAAGUCCUGGCUGUUCCUCUUCCGAUCCAGCUCUCUUCUGUGGCCUGGGAUAGUAGUAGAAGAUGGCCCAAGUGCUUGGGCCCCUGCACCUGCAUAGGAAGCCUGGAAGAAAGCUCCUGGCUUCAGAUCAGCUCAGCUCCAGCUGUUAAUGGCCAUUUGGAGAGUGAACUAGCAUAUGAAAGACCUUUCUCUGUCUCUCCCACUCUAUGUAACUCUGCCUUUCAUAUAAAUAAAUAAAUAAAUCUUUAAAAAAAAAAAAAAAAGACCUUGUGGCUGGCGCUGUGGUGCAGUGGGUUAAUGUCCUUGAAGUGCCGGCCCCCCAUAUGGGCACCAGUUCUAGUCUCGGCUGCUCCUCUUCCAAUCCAGCUCUCUGCUGUGGCCUGGGAAAGCAGUAGAAGAUGGCCCAAGUCCUUGGGCCCCUGUGACCACAUGGGUGACCCGGAGGAAACUCCUGGCUCCUGGCUUCUGAUCAGCACAGCUCCAGCCGUUGUGGCCAGUUGGGGAGUGAACCAUCAGAUGGAAGACCUCUCUCUCUCUCUCUGCCUCUCCUCUCUCUGUGGAACUUUCACUUUCAAAUAAAUAAAUAAAUAAAUCUUAAAAAAAAAAAAACAAGAAUGAAAGAACUGCGUUUUGUGAUUUUUGUGAAGUGUGUGGUUUUCUUUAAUGCACUUUUUGCUUUAUAUGUUAGGCAAGGGUGACUGCGUUAGGAAUUUCAGCAGACUGAAGGGAAGUCAAUGCUUGAAUGACUCUCACAGAGACUAAUGAUAUUUAAGGGCCAAAGGGAAGGUGGUGGGAAAUAUUCCCUGGAUGUUCCAGCUCCAUUAAAGUAUUCCCACUUUUUGCAUCUCCCCAGGAGCACUCACUGUGGGCCUUGUGCGACAGUGUCAAACAAUCCACGGACGAGAUCGGACGUGCAUCCCUCCCCGGCUUCCCCCAGAGUGGAUCACCACACUGUUUUUUAUCAUUAUGGGAAUCAUUUCAUUGACUGUCACAUGUGGUUUGCUGGUGGCUUCCCACUGGCGAAGAGAAGCUACAAAAUAUGCUCGAUGGAUAGCAUUCACUGGAAUGAUCCUUUUCUGUAUGGCUGCCCUAAUAUUUCCAAUAGGAUUUUACAUCAAUGAAGUCGGAGGUCAACCUUAUAAAUUACCCAACAACACAGUAGUUGGGUCUUCAUAUGUACUUUUUGUCUUAUCAAUUUUCUUUACAAUAGUAGGACUUCUAUUUGCUGGCAAAGUUUGUUUACCAGGCUGAUGAAUGUCUAAGUUGCUUGAGUCUCUUAUUAUUUUUUAUUUUUAUUUUAUUUUUUUAUUUUUUGGAGGGUGGGGAGGACAAAGGCAAGGCAUCUGAGCAGUCCUCUCGUGGGAAGAUGCUUAGAUGCACCCGAUGCUGAAAGGAGAGAAUGCUUUUGAUUUGUUCUCACUAUGCACUUUGGAUUUAAAAAAAGAAAAUGAGAGCCUUUUUCAUAACCAAAUACAGACAAUGUUGACUAAAUCUCCUGAGCAUAUUCAGGCAGUCAGGUCUGCACUGUGAUAGCAACCUAGUGAAGGAGAAUGCUUUAUUCUGAAAAGCACGUGGCCCUUUGUGACUCUGUUGUUCCGUUUUAACGUCUAGUGAUUCAUUUGAGGAAAAAAAAGUCUAAGUAUUUAUGAAUCAAGGUGGACCGGAGGGAUGCAAGAGAAGUUCAUGUGGGGCUGGCCUCACCUCCUAAAAAUUAGUGUUCACAACUUCCUUGUCAUGGUUUCAGCCUUUGGCACCAGAAUGGAUUGCCGUUGCAUUACUGCACCAAGAAGCCAAUAGAUCAAAACUUGUCUGCUAAAAUGUAUGUAAAAAUUCUGAAAUUCCCUAUUCUCUGUGUACAAAAAACAAAAAUCAAACACUAAGACACAUGUUGUUUGGGUGGGUGGGUGGGUGAAAUCUUCCUUAUAUUUAUAUAAAUAUAUAUAUAAUAUAUAUAUUUUGCUGAUGCAGUAUACAGUGUGUAUAUAUGUGUGUGUGUGUGUGUAUGUGUGUGUAAAUUUAUAUAUGCACACAUGCAAACAGUUCCUGGAAGAGAACUCUGAAUGCUUUGCUAGCAAAACACUGUGGUGUGCAAACCUAGAACUCAGUAGAAAAAAAGCCAUUUAUCUGAAGGCUGCAUAGUGGAGAGAGUCUUCAGUUUACCUCAUUCUUUGUAGCAGCCCUUGAUUUUAACAGGUUUUUGUAAUAGGUACAAAUAAUCCCAUGCCUUUCUAGGUGCAAUUUUAAGUUAAGCUAAAAAUUCUUUGUAGGGUUAAUUUAUUUGUAUAUGAUAGUAGAAGGUAAGAUCUUGUCAAACCUUAUGAUUUGGGGAACCUGACACUAUUUAAAUUAUUGGCAGUUGUUGUCUAUUGUACAGAGAUUCAUUUUUCUACUGGCUCGGUCUGUUACAUUAAUAAUGCGUUUUAUAUGUUCAAGCACACAACUUUACAUAAAUACAAAGCUCACUAAUAAAUAGGCUAUUUUUGGCAUUUGCAACACUAAUUUCACUCUGCCAUAAAAGUUAAAACCUGUGUUCUUUUCAUCUGUAAGCGCUAUUAAUACAUGUCUACCAAAAACCUGAGCAAUACAGUAUUUUCUUUGUAUGCUAUCAGUAUGCCUUUGUUUGCUAAAAAACUAAAAUUUUUCAUUUACUUUAAAGGGCUGUACUAAACCCACAGCUUUUAAGUUUUUUCCUAAAAGAAGCAUUUCAGCUAACCCUUGAAUUCAAAUAGUUUAAAAUGCAGUAUUUCUCUUCUCCACAUUUCCAUGCCUUCAUGUCAAUGCUUAAUUGUUUUUCCUGGUGAACUCUAUAGAGAAUCUCCUGUUGGAAAUGUGGGGCAGGAAGGUGUUUUUUAGCCAUGAAGCUAAGUUCUUCCUCUUCAUAGUGAAAUGGCAACCCAAAUGUCCCUUCCAGUAGAAUGAGAGUCCUGUGUAGCCCAUGCUUCUCACAGGCAGAAGUGAGUGCACUGUUUAAGAAACUGCGCUAUAAUGUACGGAGCAGUCACUUUAGAGAUGAGUCCUCCUCCUUAGAUAUUCAAAGUACAAAAAGGAGGAGUUUGAUGUGUUUCACACUGGCUUGUUUGACACUCAUCUAUCUUACAGUUAAUUCUGCAGUAUUUUAUUGUGAGAGAAAAUCUCAGUGUUUUGGCUCACUGGGGAGUUGGGGAAAGAGGUGGACCCAGCCCUGUGGUGCAUUCCUUGAGUGUUCUAGGGGAAUAUCAUAUUUUUCCUUGACAGUGUAAAAGAAGCCUUUGGGAAAUCCUAAGGGAGACUAUUUUUUCCCCAAGUAUUAUGAUACCUAGUCAAUUCUAAGAAUACCACUGGACAUGUGCUACCGACAUUUGGGUUUGCAUUUUCCAUUUUGAUUGGAUUAGUCUUCAGUCAAAUGGUUCACUUUGAAGGAAAGCUUUGGUUGUCACCAUUAUACCACUGAGAUUAAGUGUUAGCAAAGUAUGGUUUAAAUUAAUUCGUGAUAUGACCAAGAGCUUUUCUCUUCCAAAAGAUGAAUUUUAUUGUAAAUAGUUUCUCAAAAUAUUUUUUAACUGGAUCAUGAGCAUGGGGAGAGAAAGUUUCUCAGCUGCUAAGAAUUUCCCCACUGUUUACUUCCUUCACUUACGGUGGUAUUGCAUAUAAGAUUACUAAAUUUAAGGUUUUAUUUGUAUCUAUUACCCAAACCAUUAAGUUGUCUUUAUUUUCAUCACCAUCUUGGAGGUCCAGUGCCUAAAGGGCUGAUGGGAGGGGAAAGCUCCCUGUAGCCAGUCAGCACUCUAACCCAGGAUUGAAACCAUCCCAUCAGGUAGUAUGUGAAGUCAAGUCUUUGUAUUCUUCCAGACCAAACAAUGAAAUGGACUCAUUCAUAUAAAUUUCUAUAAAUCCUGUAAGUGAAAAACUAGACAACUGUUAGCAGUUGCUUUUAAAAAGGUCACUAUAGUAAGUACCACAUAGUACAGUAUUAAUUUAUAGCAGGAAAUCAUAUCUUGUAAACUGUAUAUAAAACACUGUUUUAUGGUGCAAUCAUUUGUCAAAACUUGUCUGUUACAUUGUUUUUUUAGAGUGUGUGCAUUACUCUCAUACCUAAGAAUAUCACUGUAAAAUCUGCUGAAAACUAUUUUUAGGUUUUAUUUGCACAAGACUGAAUUAGUUUGAAAUUUUUGGAAGCUCCUAUUGAACAUGCCUAAACAUCUAUAAACAUGAAAAAUCUUCAGUUCAUUAAAAGCAAAUGUUUCAGUAUGAUUCUUUCCAAAGGUAAUCCAUGUUCUAUGUUGUUAAUGUGUGUAUGUAAUUCUUCUGACUCUCCCACCUCUUAUAAAUCUAUUUUGUUUCAUUUGUUUUGUUUUUGAAGGAUGGCUCUUUUUUUGUUUCUUUUUAAUGUUCUAGAUGACCAAAACACUUUAUUGGUUUUUACACGUUCACCUAAAACUUUGAUAUCCCCACUUGAUGUUCUGUGAAUUUACUAAUAUCUUAAAUGAAAUAAUAAAUGGUCCUGGUGACAAACAAUCUAUUGACUUAGAGGAGAGGCCAUGAAAAAGUAUUGGAAACUAACUUUGCGUUUACUCUUAGCUAUUAUUUCUGCAUCGUGGGCUUCUUGGGAAGAACAUGUUGCAUUUAUUUUGUCUUUAUUGAAAGACUACUAGCCACAAGUUACUAUCAGUGUAAUAACCGUUUUAUCAGCCCACUUUGAUCUUCUUUUAAAAAUUAAAUUUACAUUUCCAAUUCAAAAUAGUAAACUGUCUUUCAGAAAAUUUUUGAAGGAUAAAAAUACAUGAAGGAAAAAAGUGGCCUGUGUAGGUAGAAUUCCUUACACAGGACUUUUAGUUGUAUCACCUCAAGAGAUUUUAAAGUUUGUGAUCAAGGUCUGUAUAUUUUCCCAAACUUUAUUAAGAAUUGUUUUCUAAUUGGUUAUAACAUUUUUCAAUUAAUAGUUUCAAAACAAAUUGUUAAUACAACUGUACAAAAUGAACAUAAUUUUCUUCACUUGUAUUUUUGUUAUUGAGCAAGUUUAUCAAAAUAAAUUGUCUACUAAAGAAACUAAAAA